AAACCUACAGUGCCUCUGAUGCCAAAAAAGACAUGAUCCUCUGCGUCCGUACACCCAACUCUCCCGACCUCCUAAUUACCCAAAAUACCCUCAAAACCCACGUCUCCACCGCCGCCGACUCCGGCCUGAGGUUCCGCCGGAAAAUUCUCUACCUGCAAUCUCUCAACGUCGACUCUUCCAAAGCUCUCCACAAGAAUCCCAAUCUCCGCUCGGCUCCACUCUCCGCCGUCCAAUCCAUCGCCCAAUGCCUAGCAUCAAUGGGCCUCGACCCUGUCGACGUCGGCCGGAUCUUGGACAUGCACCCCGAGCUCCUGACCUCCGACCCUUACACUGAAAUAUAUCCAAUUUUUGAUUUUUUACUCAACACCGUGAGAAUCCCUUUCCACGAAAUUCGGAAAUCGAUUAUUCGGUGCCCUAGGCUUCUCGUCUCCGACCUGGAGGCUCAAUUGAAGCCGACGUUUGAGUUCCUGACUCGAUUCGGGUUCUCCGGACGGAACAGAAUAACCUCGCGAACGUCGUUGUUGUUGGUGUCGAGCAUCGAAUUUACACUGAUUCCGAAGAUUGAGUAUCUGUUAGGGUUAGGAUUGAAACACGGCGAGGUGAAGAACAUGGUGUUGAGGUCGCCAGGGUUGCUGACAUUCAGUGUGGAGAAUAAUUUCAUGCCGAAGGUGGAUUAUUUCCUGAAUGAAAUGAAUGGGAAUAUUGAGGAAAUCAAGGAUUUUCCUCAGUAUUUCUCCUAUAGUUUGGAGAGGAAGAUUAAGCCACGCCACAGGCUUUUGAUGAAGCAUCGAUUUUCGAUGCCAUUGUGGGAGAUGCUGAAGGUUAGUGAUGGAGAAUUCAAUGCACAGCUGAUUGAGAAGAGAUUGGAAAUGGCACCUGAGGUGUAGUUGUAGCACUCUCUUAUGCUGCAUGCCCUGCCAUACACCGAUUCACAACUAUGGCUUCAACAAGAACUUCCAAUCAGCUCAUGGAAAAAGCAUGGCGACAGCUCAACCUUUGGUAUGGCAGAGCAAAGAAGCAGAAGGUAUAUGAAGUCAAAAGGUUAUUGGAUGCUUUGAUGUCGAUAUUCUUUAUCAAGCAUAGAUUGAUCAUUGAUGUGUGUUCAUUUAGUAUAUCAGAGUGUUUCUGGAAAUUCAAGUUUUCAACUUUACCUAACUUCCUGGAUUCCAUGUUGAGGAUUGGAGUGUUCCCCAAAGUGUGAAGGCUACACUCCUUCCAUACUGUGAGAACAUAGAGCAGAUUUUGUGAACACUCUGAAAGCAGAAGUGAAAAAGAUCAUGGCAUCCAUCUCCAAGAGAGCAGUCACAGGAGCCUAGGAUGUCCAAUAAAUUAUGGUAAUUAUGUGUUCGUAUGUUCUGUUCGCUCAUGAUACCCGUAAGAUUCUCUUUUUAAUCUGUGAGAAAUAUGGGUUUUGUAGGAUUAGUAAAAAAAAUGGCUUGCUGUGACUCUUGCCUUUCACUGCUUCUAGCAUGCUAUUAUAGUGACAUUAGUCCAGUUUUUGCUCGGCUGCACACAUGUGUAUAUGUAUCUUUUCUUGAAAUGCU